rnacentral:rRNA from 1 species
AUUGAACGCUGGCGGCAGGCUUAACACAUGCAAGUCGAGCGGAGAGAGGUAGCUUGCUACUGAUCUUAGCGGCGGACGGGUGAGUAAUGCCUAGGAAUCUGCCUAUUAGUGGGGGACAACAUUUCGAAAGGAAUGCUAAUACCGCAUACGUCCUACGGGAGAAAGCAGGAGAUCUUCGGACCUUGCGCUAAUAGAUGAGCCUAAGUCGGAUUAGCUAGUUGGUGGGGUAAAGGCCUACCAAGGCGACGAUCUGUAGCGGGUCUGAGAGGAUGAUCCGCCACACUGGGACUGAGACACGGCCCAGAAUCCUACGGGAGGCAGCAGUGGGGAAUAUUGGGCAAUGGGCGCAAGCCUGAUCCAGCCAUGCCGCGUGUGUGAAGAAGGCCUUAUGGUUGUAAAGCACUUUAAGCGAGGAGGAGGCUACUUUAGUUAAUACCUAGAGAUAGUGGACGUUACUCGCAGAAUAAGCACCGGCUAACUCUGUGCCAGCAGCCGCAGUAAUAC